UUCCUCAUGUUAGUGCUCACUCCCUCAUGUCUCACAUCAUGCGCGCACACACACAAUCACUGGCACACACACACGAUCACAUAUAUUUUGUUAACCAUCUGCACAUCUUAAUCCUUAACUCCUACAUAUGCAAAGAUACAGAGCAAAAAGCCAUAAACCGGAUUACAAGGAGAUACACGGAUAGAGGGCUGAAAAAUACACGCUAGAUAGAGAGAGCAUCCACAAUUCUCAAAAGAUGAGACCCAUACACUGCUUUUUAUCUUCUUCUUCUUCUUCAUGAAGGCCUGAACAAAAAGAAAACCCUAGAAAAAAGCUAGGACAUCAGCCGCAACAGUGCUGAAGAAAACACAAACCCCCACCGGCGGAGCUCAAUCUUCAGAGAAGAAGAGCCAUUUCAAUGGCUUCUUCUUGACACACCCUCACGCCAACCUGAACCAAAACACCCUUUCCCCCGUCGUUGUCACACACCCAGCUGCGACAUCGUUAUAGCAACCAGCUCAUUUGGAGAGCUGCGUUGAAGUGAGAUGUCGAAAACGAUUUGAGGCCAUCGUCCAAUUGCUGAUUCGAGUUUCGUUGUUGUUUCGCGGUACCGGUUCGAUUCUUUGCUGCUGUAUUUCAUCUUUCCUUUCGAUUUCAAAGCAGUGAGACAAGCUAUAUUGAGGUCUAUCUCCAUGUCGUUUUUACUAUUUUUUAUAGCUUGAAAUUUAUGUAUUUGUUAUCAUGUUGCCUUAGUAAUUGUGUUUGGUUAUAUGUUGAAACUGAUUUCGACUGAUUUCAUACCCUUUUAUUAAGUUUAUUUCAAAUGGAUUUGUAUUCUAUUUAAUCACCUUCACAGUCUCACAUUUCAGUUCUACCAUUACUUGUGUUUAUGAAGAUUUGGAAUAAUUUUGAUGACAGAAGAAACGAAAUGAGAAAGGUUUUUAGUUGUUCGUUCAUGGUUGUUGCGCCAGUUAUAUGCCUAUGUGUAAUUUUGCUUGUUUCAUAUUAAUUUAAAACCAUGAUAUCCCUGUGGAUUCCUUUCCGUUAAUGUUGACUUCAUUUUAUUUUAUAUUUUUAGUUUUUGUUUUCCUUAUAGUUAGCCUAUGGAUAUGAAUAUCCUUAAUUUGAUUUAAAUAUGAAUAUACGAAGUUUAUUUUAGUUGUGUAAAGACUUUCUUUUUUUUUUGAAAUAAAUUGAGGUGCGCCGUGUCAAACAAACAUGACAAUUGCAUGGCCCUCAUUUAAUUAGUUUUGUUUUUAACCCUUAGAAAUCGAGGUGUGCCAUUUAGUUGAAUUUUCCAUGGCCCUCGCAAAGUUGAAGACGCAUAGUUGCUUUAGGCGCGUUAUUUUAAUAACUUACCUUCCUAAAUUCGGGUGCACAUUUAUGUGACCCAAAUCCAAAUCUCAACGUUAGAUAAAAUGCGAUGUUGACCGCGAGUACAUUUAUGUAGCGUGACUUACGAUGUGUUUUAAAUAACUUUGAAUUUUUUCCGAAAUAUUAAAAGCCGUUAAAAUAAUAGCACCCUUUUUUCCUUUUGCUUUUACUUUUGGAUAUAGUAUCUUGAAAUAUCAUAUUGAAGUGUUUGUGCACUCAAGUGAUGGAGUAAAGAUUCUCUUUCAGUAUUACACAUUACGUAUAACACAAAUUAGAGUAAAUGUAAGCAAUUGUGAAGUUUCUUUCUCUGUUGUUUGUUUGGCAUGAUUGAUCCAUCUUUUUUUUUUUUUGCAUUCAAUUAGUAGAUGAUUUAUUUCCAUACUUGAGCCUUUUUGUUUAAAAAUUAUUUAGCAACUGAACCUCAUAUUUUGGUUUGAAGCAAUGAAGAUUUUUGACCGUUUGGAUUUAGAUAAUUCAAGUCUGAUUGCCAAGAGCUAAUAAAAAUUCACAAGCUAGUUUCAUCUUUCUGUAAAUAAUCUCUCUCUUUUUCUAUAUUAAUUUUCAUAACAUGGCCUUCACAAUAAUCUUAAAUUAGCUUUAGAAAAAUAAUUAAUAAAUCUCGUAGUUUGCUUUAGGCUCGAUUUAGAUUAGUAUUGUGAUUAUGUAUACGUUCGCGUAACAUAAUUACGAAUUUAACUCUAAAAAGACUCGAGGGAUGCGUUCGCGCAACCUCAAUCAAAUUUUCUUUAAUAAAUAAACAAAGCGUUAUUAAUUGUGGACACAUUCGCGUGACAUGAUUUUUGACGCUCCAAAGGAAAAGAGUAUACGUACGCGUAACUCAAUUCUUUAAUUACGAAUAAAUCAAGUGAUUUAAAAGUGGUUUAAUAGUUGAAAAUGCACAUAGGUUUGAAAUUGUUUUAAAAUCAGAUAAUUAGUCCAAUAAUAAUAGUUGAGCGACCGUGCUAGAACCACAAAACUCGGGAAUACCUAACACCUUCUCCCGGGUUAACAGAAUUCCUUACCCGGAUUUCUGAUCCACGGACUGUAAAACAGAGUCAACCUUUUCCUAGAUUCGGGAUUUGAACCAGUGACUUGGGACACCUUAAAUAUCCUAAGUGGCGACUCUGAAUUUUUUAAUAUAAAUAAUCCCGUUUUGAUUGUCCUUUAAUUGGAAUAAAAGCUCCCUUAUGCCCUUUGGGUGUAGGAAAAAGUAGGUGUGACACGCAAUUGCGAACCCUGGUCGCAAUUGCGACAUCUGCGACCUGCAAAUUCAUAACUUAGCCGAAAAUCUUUCAUUUUUCAAACCUUUUCAAAACUUAAACACUUUUGGGCAAUUUUUCAAAGAUAAGUACUCUUCCAAAUCAAUUGUAAGUAAUUUCUAACUCGAUUUCAUUAAUCUUUAACAUCUUUUCACAUGAUUUCAACUCAAAAUCAAGGGGUUUCAUGGGGGGGGGGAUUGAGUGUUUUAGGUAGAGCUUAGGUUUUUCAAAUUUUUGGGAUUUGGACCUCGAUUUGAGGUCUGAUUUCAAAAUAAAUUAUAUAUUUGGGUUUGUGGGUGAAUGGGUAAUCGGGUUUUGGUCUGAACCUCAGGUUUUGACCAUGUGGGUUGGGGGUCGAUUUUUGACUUUUUGGGAAAAACUUUAGAAAACCUAUUUUCAUGCAUUAGAAUUGAUUCAUUUAGCAUUUACUGAUAUAGUUAAGUAACUUGUGGCUAGAUACGACCGAAUUGGUGGUGGAAUCAAGAGGUAAAGCGGUAGUUGAGGCUUGAAUUGUGUUCGUGGCAUUGAGGUAAGUGUUUGGUCUAACCUUAACUUGAGGGAUUAGAAGUUGUGUCCUAUUUGCUAUGUGCUAGUUGUUGAGUACGACGUAUAGGCAUGGUGACGAGUAUCUAUACGUCCGUGGGUCUUAUAUUAUGAUUAAUGUGACUCCGUUUAUAUUGUUCAUGCUUUAUGUGAUGAUUUCUAUUGUUGAGCAAGACUUGUGGAAGUAAUAUUGGUAUUUGAACAUUGACUAGCAUUGGCUCAAGUUGUAAAAUGAUUUGGGGAAGUAUAAUUGGCAAUCGAACAUUAUAGAGAAUUGGCUCAAAUUGUGAAUUGAGUUGUGAAGUAAAUGUGAAAAAGAAAAGAGGAUUAUGAUAUUAUCUUCCUUGCCGGGAUGUUGUUGUUUUAAGGUUAUCUCCCUUGUCGGGAUGUUAUAGUUUUGAUAUUGUUUCCCUUAUCGGGAUAUGAUUGUUGUACUAUUGUUCCAUUGCCGGGUUUUUAUUGUGAAUUUGUUGAUUUUCUUGCCCUUAUUUCUUUGUGACUGUUGUUUGGGUGAGGAAGAGUGUUAAAGCACGAAUGGUGAUGUCGUGUAUGAUUUUUUUUGUGAGGACGAGAGUAAAAGCACUAAGGGUAAUGCCGUGCCGCACAAUAUACAAUUCCGUGCCAUAAUAUAACUGUUAAUGCACGAAGGAUCAUUUCGUGCCAUGAUUAUGUGAGGUAAAAGCACGAACGGUGAUGUCGUGCCGAUUUUAUUGAUUUUAUGGUGAGGACGAGAGUAAAAACAUAAAGGGUGAUGUCGUGCACUUGUCUUUGAUUUUCCUGACUUCUACUGAUAAUUGAGUGUUCUUUACAUUUAACUGUUGGUUUCUGUUGCUACUUGUUUUUCCCUGCAGCAUGUUUCCCCUCUUAUCCUUAACUGUACAUUUCUACCUUUAUUUUUCGUUGUAUAUGAUUUAACUGCACAGGUUUAUUUGGUAUUCUGGUCCUAGCCUCGUCACUACUUCGUCGAGGUUAGGAUAGGCACUUACUAGCACAUGGGGUUGGUUGUGCUGAUACUACACUUUGCACUGUGUGCAGAUCCUGGUACUGGAGCUUACGGACCUUAGCUUUGGGUUGCUUCCUUCAAUCAAUUCGGAGAUCCGAGGUAGUCCUGCAGGCAUCCACAGGCCUUGGCGUCUCCUCCUAUCCUUUCAUCCUAUUUUAUUUAUGUAUUUCUGAGACAAUAUUGUAUUUAUUUUUGGACCCUUAUUUGUAGUAUUCCUAGACCGUCUGUGAAAUUGUGACACCAAUUAUGGGUAGUCUUUGUUUAAGGAAUUGUAUUGGUAAUAUUUAAAUGGUUAUGUUUUUUUCUUCUGCUUAUUAAAUUCCGUUGU
rnacentral:lncRNA from 1 species